rnacentral:tRNA from 1 species
CCGUAGCUCAACGGAUAGAGCAUCUGACUACGGAUCAGAAGGUUGGGGGUUCGAAUCCCU